rnacentral:rRNA from 1 species
CUUCGGGGUGUGACUGCGUACCUUUUGUAUAAUGGGUCAGCGACUUAUAUUCUGUAGCAAGGUUAACCGUAUAGGGGAGCCGUAGGGAAACCGAGUCUUAACCGGGCGUUAAGUUGCAGGGUAUAGACCCGAAACCCGGUGAUCUAGCCAUGGGCAGGUUGAAGGUUGGGUAACACUAACUGGAGGACCGAACCGACUAAUGUUGAAAAAUUAGCGGAUGACCUGUGGCUGGGGGUGAAAGGCCAAUCAAACCGGGAGAUAGCUGGUUCUCCCCGAAAGCUAUUUAGGUAGCGCCUCGUGAAUUCAUCUCCGGGGGUAGAGCACUGUUUCGGCUAGGGGGCCAUCCCGGCUUACCAACCCGAUGCAAACUGCGAAUACCGGAGAAUGUUAUCACGGGAGACACACGGCGGGUGCUAACGUCCGUCGUGAAGAGGGAAACAACCCAGACCGCCAGCUAAGGUCCCAAAGUCAUGGUUAAGUGGGAAACGAUGUGGGAAGGCCCAGACAGCCAGGAUGUUGGCUUAGAAGCAGCCAUCAUUUAAAGAAAGCGUAAUAGCUCACUGGUCGAGUCGGCCUGCGCGGAAGAUGUAACGGGGCUAAACCAUGCACCGAAGCUGCGGCAGCGACA